AUUAGAGGGGUGCAGACUGGAAAGGGAAGGUCAUUAAAGAACUUAUGAGCUCCAAAGAGGAACAGGCCUGACCAGGUCCAUGAGUUGAAGAAGAAGGAGAAACCAAAAAAAGAAAAAGAAAGAGAAACCAAGAACCCAAGACAACCAAGAGAAAGGUGCAGCAGUUCCUGACCCCAGUCUGAAGCUUCCUUCAGUAAAAGACAUAUCCACUCCAGGGACCCUCGCUGGUGGAUGGGGUUGCUGGGGAAAAUGCCUUAUUAAAGCAAUGCAGUAAGAGAUA
rnacentral:lncRNA from 1 species